UACAGAGGGUGCAAGCGUUGUUCGGAAUUAUUGGGCGUAAAGCGCGUGUAGGCGGCUUUGCAAGUCGGGUGUGAAAGCCCUCGGCUCAACCGAGGAAGUGCGCCCGAAACUGCAGAGCUUGAGUACCGGAGAGGGUAGCGGAAUUCCCCAAGUAGAGGUGAAAUUCGUAGAUAUGGGGAGGAACACCGGUGGCGAAGGCGGCUACCUGGACGGAUACUGACGCUGAGGCGCGAAAGCUAGGGUAGCAAACGGG
rnacentral:rRNA from 1 species